AUUGAACGCUGGCGGCAUGCCUUACACAUGCAAGUCGAACGGUAACAGGUCUUCGGAUGCUGACGAGUGGCGAACGGGUGAGUAAUACAUCGGAACGUGCCUAGUAGCGGGGGAUAACUACUCGAAAGAGUGGCUAAUACCGCAUGAGAUCUACGGAUGAAAGCAGGGGAUCGCAAGAACUUGUGCUACUAGAGCGGCCGAUGGCAGAUUAGGUAGUUGGUGGGAUAAAAGCUUACCAAGCCGACGAUCUGUAGCUGGUCUGAGAGGACGAUCAGCCACACUGGGACUGAGACACGGCCCAGACUCCUACGGGAGGCAGCAGUGGGGAAUUUUGGACAAUGGGCGAAAGCCUGAUCCAGCAACGCCGCGUGCAGGAUGAAGGCCUUCGGGCUGUAAACUGCUUUUGUACGGAACGAAAAGCCCCGGGUUAAUACCCUGGGGUCAUGACGGUACCGUAAGAAUAAGCACCGGCUAACUACGUGCCAGCAGCCGCCGUAA
rnacentral:rRNA from 1 species